rnacentral:rRNA from 1 species
UACAGAGUUACUACUCCAAACCCAUUGUGAACCUUACCUGUGUUCUGUUGCCUCGGCGGCGUGGUCAGCGCCCCUCUGAAAAGAGGACGAUGCCCUCCCGCCGGCAGCACCCAAACUCUUUGAAUUUUACAGCGGAUUACAGUUCUGAUUUGAAAACAAAAAAACAAGUUAAAACUUUCAACAACGGAUCUCUUGGUUCUGGCAUCGAUGAAGAACGCAGCGAAAUGCGAUAAGUAAUGUGAAUUGCAGAAUUCAGUGAAUCAUCGAAUCUUUGAACGCACAUUGCGCCCGGCAGUAAUCUGCCGGGCAUGCCUGUCCGAGCGUCAUUUCAACCCUCGAACCUCCGUUUCCUCAGGGAAGCUCAGGGUCGGUGUUGGGGCGCUACGGCGAGUCUUCGCGACCCUCCGUAGGCCCUGAAAUACAGUGGCGGUCCCGCCGCGGUUGCCUUCUGCGUAGUAAGUCUCUUUUGCAAGCUCGCAUUGGGUCCCGGCGGAGGCCUGCCGUCAAACCACCUAUAACUCCAGAUGGUUUGAC